AACGAACGCUGGCGGCAGGCUUAACACAUGCAAGUCGAACGCCCCGCAAGGGGAGUGGCAGACGGGUGAGUAACGCGUGGGAACAUACCCUUUUCUACGGAAUAGCUCUGGGAAACUGGAAUUAAUACCGUAGACGCCCUACGGGGGAAAGAUUUAUCGGGGAAGGAUUGGCCCGCGUUGGAUUAGCUAGUUGGUGGGGUAAAGGCCUACCAAGGCGACGAUCCAUAGCUGGUCUGAGAGGAUGAUCAGCCACAUUGGGACUGAGACACGGCCCAAACUCCUACGGGAGGCAGCAGUGGGGAAUAUUGGACAAUGGGCGCAAGCCUGAUCCAGCCAUGCCGCGUGAGUGAUGAAGGCCUUAGGGUUGUAAAGCUCUUUCACCGAUGAAGAUAAUGACGGUAGUCGCAGAAGAAGCCCCGGCUAACUUCGUG
rnacentral:rRNA from 1 species